UGGGGAAUAUUGCACAAUGGGGGAAACCCUGAUGCAGCAACGCCGCGUGCGGGAUGACGGCCUUCGGGUUGUAAACCGCUUUCAGCCAUGACGAAGCUUUUUUGACGGUAGUGGCAGAAGAAGCACCGGCUAACUACGUGCCAGCAGCCGCGGUGAUACGUAGGGUGCGAGCGUUGUCCGGAAUUAUUGGGCGUAAAGAGCUUGUAGGCGGUUUGUCGCGUCGAAAGUGUAAACUCAGUGCUUAACGCUGAGCCUGCUUUCGAUACGGGCUGACUAGAGGAAGGCAGGGGAGAAUGGAAUUCCCGGUGGAGCGGUGGAAUGCGCAGAUAUCGGGAGGAACACCAGUGGCGAAGGCGGUUCUCUGGACCUUUCCUGACGCUGAGAAGCGAAAGCGUGGGUAGCAAACAGG
rnacentral:rRNA from 1 species